AACGAACGCUGGCGGCAGGCUUAACACAUGCAAGUCGAGCGCCGUAGCAAUACGGAGCGGCAGACGGGUGAGUAACGCGUGGGAAUCUACCCAUCACUACGGAACAACUCCGGGAAACUGGAGCUAAUACCGUAUACGUCCUUCGGGAGAAAGAUUUAUCGGUGAUGGAUGAGCCCGCGUUGGAUUAGCUAGUUGGUGGGGUAAUGGCCCACCAAGGCGACGAUCCAUAGCUGGUCUGAGAGGAUGAUCAGCCACACUGGGACUGAGACACGGCCCAGACUCCUACGGGAGGCAGCAGUGGGGAAUAUUGGACAAUGGGCGCAAGCCUGAUCCAGCCAUGCCGCGUGAGUGAUGAAGGCCCUAGGGUUGUAAAGCUCUUUCACCGGUGAAGAUAAUGACGGUAACCGGAGAAGAAGCCCCGGCUAACUUCGUGCCAGCAGCCGCCGUAAAAC
rnacentral:rRNA from 1 species